rnacentral:rRNA from 1 species
CCUACGGGUGGCUGCAGUGGGGAAUAUUGGGCAAUGGGCGCAAGCCUGACCCAGCAACGCCGCGUGAAGGAAGAAGGCUUUCGGGUUGUAAACUUCUUUUGUCAGGGAAGAGUAGAAGACGGUACCUGACGAAUAAGACACGGCUAACUACGUGCCAGCAGCCGCGGUAAUACGUAGGUGGCAAGCGUUGUCCGGAUUUACUGGGUGUAAAGGGCGUGUAGCCGGGUUGACAAGUCAGAUGUGAAAUCCUGCGGCUUAACCGCAGAACUGCAUUUGAAACUGGUGAUCUUGAGUACUGGAGAGGCAGAUGGAAUUCCUAGUGUAGCGGUGAAAUGCGUAGAUAUUACGAGGAACCCCAGUGGCGAAGGCAGUCUGCUGGACAGCAACUGACGGUGAGGCGCGAAAGCGUGGGGAGCAAACAGGAUUAGAUACCCUUGUAGUC